AAAGAGCAUUCAUAAUAUCAUCGUCUAUUCUAUCACCAACUGCUACAUCAUCUAGAAAAUCAAUAUCGCUAAAUUGAAAACAAGGGUGAUCACUAUCAAGGAUUCAGAAGGGUUCAUUUGGAUUUAUAGGUUGGCUACUACUUUGAACUUGCUUAUCUUUUCUAGGCCGGGGAGCCGGGGGAGGGAGGGGUAGUAUUUUGGCGACUGCUUUCACCGAUUUUAUAUUUUCCUUUACCGAACAUAUUUUUCAACGAAAAUGCCAUAAUAAUGAUAAUUAAGCAAAAUAACAACACACAAAAAUAUUCUUAGCACGUAAGAGUUGAAACGAGUUUACCGGAUUGACGAACAACUUCUUGAAAAUUGA
rnacentral:lncRNA from 1 species